rnacentral:rRNA from 1 species
UACGUAGGUGGCAAGCGUUGUCCGGAAUUAUUGGGCGUAAAGCGCGCGCAGGCGGUCCUUUAAGUCUGAUGUGAAAGCCCACGGCUCAACCGUGGAGGGUCAUUGGAAACUGGGGGACUUGAGUACAGAAGAGAAGAGUGGAAUUCCACGUGGUAGCGGUGAAAUGCGUAGAGAUGUGGAGGAACACCAGUGGCGAAGGCGACUC